AUUGAACGCUGGCGGCAGGCCUAACACAUGCAAGUCGAACGAGUGGCGGACGGGUGAGUAAUGUCUGGGAACCUGCCCGAUGGAGGGGGAUAACUACUGGAAACGGUAGCUAAUACCGCAUACCAUCGGAUGUGCCCAGAUGGGAUUGGCUGGUAGGUGGGGUAACGGCUCACCUGGGCGACGAUCCCUAGCUGGUCUGAGAGGAUGACCGUCCACACUGGAACGGAGACACGGUCCAGACUCCUACGGGAGGCAGCAUUGGGGAAUUUUGCAAAAUGGGCGCAAGCCUGAUGCAGCCAUGCCGCGUGUAUGAGGAAGGCCUUCGGGUUGUAAAGUACUUUCAGCGAGGAGGCGUUACUCGCAGAAGAAGCACCGGCUAACUCCGUGCCAGCAGCCGCGGUAAUAC
rnacentral:rRNA from 1 species